UGUCUCCCCCUCUUUCUCUCCAGUAAACUACCAAUUUCAAUUAUCUAAUGCCGAUUAGGUUAAUCUAACAAAAUCACCUCUUAGCGACGUAAAAAUCUAGGGACGAUCCCACCUUCAACAAACAAAAGUUCUGAUAUCAACUUUUACUGAGUCACUGAGUUGUUUAAUUUUGAAGAUAGCCAUUGCUUUACUGUCAACCAAUUCGAAUAAUUUUACUAAUAUGGCUGAUACAGUGCUAUUUAUUUUAGUCCGCUUUUUUUUGCCAUUUACAUUAAUAAUUGUGUCAUUGGUGCGACCGGUUGGAAUAUCUUUUUUUUAUCUUAUGUUGUUUUUUGUGUCACCUUGGCUUCUGCAAACCAAGAGCUUAAGGCAACAAGCUUUAUUAAACGCAUUUAUGAUUUUUCUUUGUGUUAUAGGUACACUUUGCCUAAUCGGCCACCUUUUAAUUAAUUUGAUAAAUUUAUUUUUUAUUGACUUAAGCUCCAAAAAGUCAAUUACGAUUAUCUUACGACAAAUUGGGUUCUUGUAUUUUAAUGGACUGAGGUAACAUUUUAAUCCAUUUCCUAUUUUAAAAAUAACCGUAUAUUUUAGUUUUGGUUCUAUUGCGCACUGGAUACUUCCUGAUAUUUUUGUUCUUUUGGAAACAAUCGUCUAUUUCAUUUAUUCUAAGGUAUACAAUAAAAGACAAAAGAAACUUUUUUUGGAUGAUAGCUAUGCUAUCAGUAAGGAAAGUAAGGAGCUAAGAGGUGUAUUGAAAAUUUCUGAAAUGAAUCGGCAGUUAAUCAUUGUGUAUAUUCAAUCCGUUUUAAAGACAUCACCUUUUUUUACCCUUAUUGUGAUUUACUUUGCUGCAACUUUAAGACCAUCAUUGCCUGGAAGCCUAUAUUUCUUAAUGUUCAUCAUAGCUGGCACUUAUUGGGCGCUUUAUCGCCAACUGCACCGGGGUAUGUACUAUCCUCUGAUUUUUAUGAUUGUUGCACUUUUGGUACAUGUAACAUGUUUAUUUGCUUUUCAACUAUCAGUCCUGCAACAAUCAGAUAAUUAUAAUACAAUAUGGACCAGGCAUUGUUCGGCUUAUUCACUGGAGCAAUUCUAUCUCAGACUAUAGGAUUCUACUAUCAAAACCGAUAGGUCAGCUGCUGUAAAAAUAGGAUCAAGUAUAAAAACUAAAAAAAAAAUUAGCUUACGAA